rnacentral:lncRNA from 1 species
AUUUCCACAAUUCAAUCAAAUUUCAUGGGUUCAACAGCAACAAUUUCAUCAUUCCCACAAUUCCAUCAAUUUUCACGGGUUUAACAGUAACAUUUUCAUCAUUCCCACAAUUCAAUCAAAUUUCAUGAGUUUAACAGCAACAUUUUCAUCAUUCAUACAAUUCAAUCAAAUUUCAUGGGUUUAACAACAAAAUCUUCAUUAUUCAUACAAUUCAAUCAAAUUUUAUAGGUUUAACAUCAAC